rnacentral:misc_RNA from 1 species
GAAAUGCGAUACGUAAUGUGAAUUGCAGAAUUCAGUGAAUCAUCGAAUCUUUGAACGCAUAUUGCGCUCUCUGGUAUUCCGGAGAGCAUGCUUGUUUGAGUAUCAGUAAACACCUCAACUUCCAUAUCUUUUUUGAAAUGGGAGUUGGACUUGAGUGAUCCCAACGCUUUUCCUCACCGAAAAGUGGCGGGUUACUUGAAAUGCAGGUGCAGCUGGGAUUCCACACUUCAUUGUCCAAGGCUACAAGCAUUUCUGCUAAGUCCGAUCAAACGGAUUAUACCUUUUUGCUGCCGAAACGCUGACUGAUGCAGGAUAUGUUUGACAGAUUUCGAGGGGGGUUUUUUUCUCCCUUCGAUCUUUGUUUGUUCCACUCGAUCUCAAAUCAAGUAAGACUACCCGC